AAUGAACGCUGGCGGCGUGGAUUAGGCAUGCAAGUCGAGCGGUAAGGCCCCUUCGGGGGUACACGAGCGGCGGAAGGGUCAGUAAUGCGUGGAUUAUCUACCUCCGGGUUCGGGACAACUGUGCUAACGCGCAGCUAAUACCGAAUAACGUCUCCGGUCCAAAGGUGCGAUUCCGCCUGGAGAUGAGUCCGCGUCCUAUUAGCUAGUUGGUGGGGUAAUGGCCCACCAAGGCCGAGAUGGGUAGCAGGUGUGAGAGCACGACCUGCGACACUGGGACUGAGAUACUGCCCAGACUCCUACGGGAGGCAG
rnacentral:rRNA from 1 species